CAUAUUUCAUGAGACAUGUCACUACAACAAAUUAUCAAACAACUUGUAUGCAUCAUUUAUGACUCCCAACAUGGGGUCCAACACCAUAACGCAUAAUAAGCAUGAGAAAGAGAAGAACCCCCUACCUUGAAGUAGAAUUAAAAACUGCAAAGAGAAAGAGCUCUAGCACACUUUGCUUCUAUCCAAUGGAUCUAUGCACACAUGAGACAUCUUUGGGAGAAUAGAACGAGAAUUUUAACUUAGAAAUUGAAAGAACAAGUGAAAACACAAACUCCC
rnacentral:lncRNA from 1 species